GGUUAAGCGACUAAGCGUACACGGUGGAUGCCCUGGCAGUCAGAGGCGAUGAAGGGCGUGCUAAUCUGCGAUAAGCGCCGGUAAGGUGAUAUGAACCGUUAUAACCGGCGAUACCCGAAUGGGGAAACCCAGUGUGACUCGUCACACUAUCAUUAACUGAAUCCAUAGGUUAAUGAGGCGAACCGGGGGAACUGAAACAUCUAAGUACCCCGAGGAAAAGAAAUCAACCGAGAUUCCCCCAGUAGCGGCGAGCGAACGGGGAGGAGCCCAGAGCCUGAAUCAGCAUGUGUGUUAGUGGAAGCGUCUGGAAAGGCGCGCGAUACAGGGUGACAGCCCCGUACACAAAAGCGCAUGUGCUGUGAGCUCGAUGAGUAGGGCGGGACACGUGGUAUCCUGUCUGAAUAUGGGGGGACCAUCCUCCAAGGCUAAAUACUCCUGACUGACCGAUAGUGAACCAGUACCGUGAGGGAAAGGCGAAAAGAACCCCGGGAGGGGAGUGAAAAAGAACCUGAAACCGUGUACGUACAAGCAGUGGGAGCCCCACCACCAAAGCAUUCUCUGGUGUUGAAGGCCCUGCAAAGCAGCAUCGCGGUGGCGGAGCGUCGUUUGCGACGCCCAACACACAAAACAAGCGGUGAAUGCUUUGGGGUGGGGUGACUGCGUACCUUUUGUAUAAUGGGUCAGCGACUUAUAUUCUGUAGCAAGGUUAACCGAAUAGGGGAGCCGGAGGGAAACCGAGUCUUAAUUGGGCGUUAAGUUGCAGGGUAUAGACCCGAAACCCGGUGAUCUAGCCAUGGGCAGGUUGAAGGUUGGGUAACACUAACUGGAGGACCGAACCGACUAAUGUUGAAAAAUUAGCGGAUGACCUGUGGCUGGGGGUGAAAGGCCAAUCAAACCGGGAGAUAGCUGGUUCUCCCCGAAAGCUAUUUAGGUAGCGCCUCGUGAAUUCAUCUCCGGGGGUAGAGCACUGUUUCGGCUAGGGGGCCAUCCCGGCUUACCAACCCGAUGCAAACUGCGAAUACCGGAGAAUGUUAUCACGGGAGACACACGGCGGGUGCUAACGUCCGUCGUGAAGAGGGAAACAACCCAGACCGCCAGCUAAGGUCCCAAAGUCAUGGUUAAGUGGGAAACGAUGUGGGAAGGCCCAGACAGCCAGGAUGUUGGCUUAGAAGCAGCCAUCAUUUAAAGAAAGCGUAAUAGCUCACUGGUCGAGUCGGCCUGCGCGGAAGAUGUAACGGGGCUAAACCAUGCACCGAAGCUGCGGCAGCGAACGUAUCACCCAAGACAACUUUACGGAGUUGACGAUUGACGGAGCGAAGCGACGUCAAAGCGUUCAUUAAAGUCGAGUUGGCUUAGGGAUACGUUCGUUGGGUAGGGGAGCGUUCUGUAAGCCUGUGAAGGUGUGUCGUGAGGCAUGCUGGAGGUAUCAGAAGUGCGAAUGCUGACAUAAGUAACGAUAAAGCGGGUGAAAAGCCCGCUCGCCGGAAGACCAAGGGUUCCUGUCCAACGUUAAUCGGGGCAGGGUGAGUCGACCCCUAAGGCGAGGCCGAAAGGCGUAGUCGAUGGGAAACGGGUUAAUAUUCCCGUACUUGGUGUUACUGCGAAGGGGGGACGGAGAAGGCUAUGUUGGCCGGGCGACGGUUGUCCCGGUUUAAGCGUGUAGGUGUGUGUUCCAGGUAAAUCCGGUUCACUUUAACACUGAGGCGUGACGACGAGGCACUACGGUGCUGAAGCAACAAAUGCCCUGCUUCCAGGAAAAGCCUCUAAGCAUCAGGUAACACGAAAUCGUACCCCAAACCGACACAGGUGGUCAGGUAGAGAAUACCAAGGCGCUUGAGAGAACUCGGGUGAAGGAACUAGGCAAAAUGGUGCCGUAACUUCGGGAGAAGGCACGCUGACACGUAGGUGAAGUGAUUUACUCAUGGAGCUGAAGUCAGUCGAAGAUACCAGCUGGCUGCAACUGUUUAUUAAAAACACAGCACUGUGCAAACACGAAAGUGGACGUAUACGGUGUGACGCCUGCCCGGUGCCGGAAGGUUAAUUGAUGGGGUCAGCGCAAGCGAAGCUCCUGAUCGAAGCCCCGGUAAACGGCGGCCGUAACUAUAACGGUCCUAAGGUAGCGAAAUUCCUUGUCGGGUAAGUUCCGACCUGCACGAAUGGCGUAAUGAUGGCCAGGCUGUCUCCACCCGAGACUCAGUGAAAUUGAACUCGCUGUGAAGAUGCAGUGUACCCGCGGCAAGACGGAAAGACCCCGUGAACCUUUACUAUAGCUUGACACUGAACAUUGAGCCUUGAUGUGUAGGAUAGGUGGGAGGCUUUGAAGUGUGGACGCCAGUCUGCAUGGAGCCGACCUUGAAAUACCACCCUUUAAUGUUUGAUGUUCUAACGUGGACCCGUAAUCCGGGUUGCGGACAGUGUCUGGUGGGUAGUUUGACUGGGGCGGUCUCCUCCUAAAGAGUAACGGAGGAGCACGAAGGUUGGCUAAUCCUGGUCGGACAUCAGGAGGUUAGUGCAAUGGCAUAAGCCAGCUUGACUGCGAGCGUGACGGCGCGAGCAGGUGCGAAAGCAGGUCAUAGUGAUCCGGUGGUUCUGAAUGGAAGGGCCAUCGCUCAACGGAUAAAAGGUACUCCGGGGAUAACAGGCUGAUACCGCCCAAGAGUUCAUAUCGACGGCGGUGUUUGGCACCUCGAUGUCGGCUCAUCACAUCCUGGGGCUGAAGUAGGUCCCAAGGGUAUGGCUGUUCGCCAUUUAAAGUGGUACGCGAGCUGGGUUUAGAACGUCGUGAGACAGUUCGGUCCCUAUCUGCCGUGGGCGCUGGAGAACUGAGGGGGGCUGCUCCUAGUACGAGAGGACCGGAGUGGACGCAUCACUGGUGUUCGGGUUGUCAUGCCAAUGGCACUGCCCGGUAGCUAAAUGCGGAAGAGAUAAGUGCUGAAAGCAUCUAAGCACGAAACUUGCCCCGAGAUGAGUUCUCCCUGAGACUUAGAGUCUCCUGAAGGAACGUUGAAGACGACGACGUUGAUAGGCCGGGUGUGUAAGCGCAGCGAUGCGUUGAGCUAACCGGUACUAAUGAACCGUGAGGCUUAACCUU
rnacentral:rRNA from 1 species